rnacentral:rRNA from 1 species
AAAUUGAAGAGUUUGAUCAUGGCUCAGAUUGAACGCUGGCGGCAGGCCUAACACAUGCAAGUCGAACGGUAACAGGAAACAGCUUGCUGUUUCGCUGACGAGUGGCGGACGGGUGAGUAAUGUCUGGGAAACUGCCUGAUGGAGGGGGAUAACUACUGGAAACGGUAGCUAAUACCGCAUAACGUCGCAAGACCAAAGAGGGGGACCUUCUGGCCUCUUGCCAUCGGAUGUGCCCAGAUGGGAUUAGCUAGUAGGUGGGGUAACGGCUCACCUAGGCGACGAUCCCUAGCUGGUCUGAGAGGAUGACCAGCCACACUGGAACUGAGACACGGUCCAGACUCCUACGGGAGGCAGCAGUGGGGAAUAUUGCACAAUGGGCGCAAGCCUGAUGCAGCCAUGCCGCGUGUAUGAAGAAGGCCUUCGGGUUGUAAAGUACUUUCAGCGGGGAGGAAGGGAGUAAAGUUAAUACCUUUGCUCAUUGACGUUACCCGCAGAAGAAGCACCGGCUAACUCCGUGCCAGCAGCCGCGGUAAUACGGAGGGUGCAAGCGUUAAUCGGAAUUACUGGGCGUAAAGCGCACGCAGGCGGUUUGUUAAGUCAGAUGUGAAAUCCCCGGGCUCAACCUGGGAACUGCAUCUGAUACUGGCAAGCUUGAGUCUCGUAGAGGGGGGUAGAAUUCCAGGUGUAGCGGUGAAAUGCGUAGAGAUCUGGAGGAAUACCGGUGGCGAAGGCGGCCCCCUGGACGAAGACUGACGCUCAGGUGCGAAAGCGUGGGGAGCAAACAGGAUUAGAUACCCUGGUAGUCCACGCCGUAAACGAUGUCGACUUGGAGGUUGUGCCCUUGAGGCGUGGCUUCCGGAGCUAACGCGUUAAGUCGACCGCCUGGGGAGUACGGCCGCAAGGUUAAAACUCAAAUGAAUUGACGGGGGCCCGCACAAGCGGUGGAGCAUGUGGUUUAAUUCGAUGCAACGCGAAGAACCUUACCUGGUCUUGACAUCCACGGAAGUUUUCAGAGAUGAGAAUGUGCCUUCGGGAACCGUGAGACAGGUGCUGCAUGGCUGUCGUCAGCUCGUGUUGUGAAAUGUUGGGUUAAGUCCCGCAACGAGCGCAACCCUUAUCCUUUGUUGCCAGCGGUCCGGCCGGGAACUCAAAGGAGACUGCCAGUGAUAAACUGGAGGAAGGUGGGGAUGACGUCAAGUCAUCAUGGCCCUUACGACCAGGGCUACACACGUGCUACAAUGGCGCAUACAAAGAGAAGCGACCUCGCGAGAGCAAGCGGACCUCAUAAAGUGCGUCGUAGUCCGGAUUGGAGUCUGCAACUCGACUCCAUGAAGUCGGAAUCGCUAGUAAUCGUGGAUCAGAAUGCCACGGUGAAUACGUUCCCGGGCCUUGUACACACCGCCCGUCACACCAUGGGAGUGGGUUGCAAAAGAAGUAGGUAGCUUAACCUUCGGGAGGGCGCUUACCACUUUGUGAUUCAUGACUGGGGUGAAGUCGUAACAAGGUAACCGUAGGGGAACCUGCGGUUGGAUCACCUCCUUACCUUAAAGAAGC